AGAGAUGCCGCCUUGCUCCUU
rnacentral:miRNA from 1 species